CCAUCACGACGCAUCGAAAUCAAACGCCUCUCUCUCUCUCUCUCUCUCUCUCUCUCUCCUCUUCCAGUCUCUCCCUCCCCAAUAUGCAAAGCUGUAUUGUGAUGGGAUCAUCUAAGCUGUUUCGUGCGUAGACGGUGGCCGCAGCUCGUCAAGUUCAUUCCAGAUGCAUUCUUUGUAUUUGCUUGGGCAGUAUUGCAGGUCCUAGUCCCAAGUGCUGAUUUGGAGUCUGGUCGCCAUCCUUUCCUUUUGAGCUAUUUUGUAAUAGGACGACAAACACAUUUGCUGAAGUUUCCAAGGUUUCACACAAACAAGAGUAGGGAAGCCUUUCGAAAUCAGCACUGAUAGAGGAUGACUUUGAGUACUAAGAACGGUACAAAUAUCAUGUUUUAGGUUGAGGUUUUCCAUUAAACAAAACCUUUUUAAUUUUCUUAUCAAAUAUUACUCUGUUGUUUUCACCUGAAUUCAAUGAUAUUCAAUAAAGAAGCGGUAUUUUGUAA